rnacentral:rRNA from 1 species
AUGGCCCAUGGAAGAAAAGGUGGCCUCUACCUGUAAGCUAUCGCCAGAAGAGGGGUUUGCGUCUGAUUAGCUGGUUGGAGGGGUAACGGCCCACCAAGGCACGAUCAGUAGCCGGUCUGAGAGGAUGAACGGCCACACUGGAACUGAGACACGGUCCAGACUCCUACGGGAGGCAGCAGUGGGGAAUCUUCCGCAAUGGGCGAAAGCCUGACGGAGCAACGCCGCGUGAGUGAUGACGGCCUUCGGGUUGUAAAACUCUGUGAUCCGGGACGAAAAGGCAGAGUGCGAAGAACAAACUGCAUUGACGGUACCGGAAAAGCAAGCCACGGCUAACUACGUGCCAGCAGCCGCGGUAAUACGUAGGUGGCAAGCGUUGUCCGGAAUUAUUGGGCGUAAAGCGCGCGCAGGCGGCUUCCCAAGUCCCUCUUAAAAGUGCGGGGCUUAACCCCGUGAUGGGAAGGAAACUGGGAAGCUGGAGUAUCGGAGAGGAAAGUGGAAUUCCUAGUGUAGCGGUGAAAUGCGUAGAGAUUAGGAAGAACACCGGUGGCGAAGGCGACUUUCUGGACGAAAACUGACGCUGAGGCGCGAAAGCGUGGGGAGCAAACAGGAUUAGAUACCCUGGUAGUCCACGCCGUAAACGAUGGAUACUAGGUGUAGGAGGUAUCGACCCCUCCUGUGCCGGAGUUAACGCAAUAAGUAUCCCGUCCUGGGAA